GACUCGGUGGCGAAUAGCUCAGUAACACGUGGCCAAACUACCCUUCGGAACACAAUACCCUCGGGAAACUGAGGCUAAUAGUGUAUACCAUACCACCACUGGAAUGAGUGGUAUGCCAAACGCUCCGGCGCCGAAGGAUGUGGCUGCGGCCGAUUAGGUAGACGGUGGGGUAACGGCCCACCGUGCCAAUAAUCGGUACGGGUCAUGAGAGUGAGAACCCGGAGACGGAAUUUGAGACAAGAUUCCGGGCCCUACGGGGCGCAGCAGGCGCGAAACCUUUACACUGCACGACAGUGCGAUAGGGGGAUCCCAAGUGCACAGGCAUAGCGCCUGUGCUUUUCGGUACCGUAAGGUGGUACCAGAAUAAGGGCUGGGCAAGACCGGUGCCAGCCGCCGCGGUAAUACCGGCAGCCCAAGUGAUGGCCGAUCUUAUUGGGCCUAAAGCGUCCGUAGCUGGCCGCGCAAGUCCAUCGGGAAAUCCACCUGCUCAACAGGUGGGCGCCCGGUAGAAACUGCGUGGCUUGGGACCGGAAGGCGCGACGGGUACGUCCGGGGUAGGAGUGAAAUCCCGUAAUCCUGGACGGACCGCCGAUGGCGAAAGCACGUCGCGAGAACGGAUCCGACAGUGAGGGACGAAAGCCAGGGUCUCGAACCGGAUUAGAUACCCGGGUAGUCCUGGCCGUAAACAAUGUCUGCUAGGUGUGGCUCCCACUACGAGUGGGUGCUGUGCCGUAGGGAAGCCGCUAAGCAGACCGCCUGGGAAGUACGUCCGCAAGGAUGAAACUUAAAGGAAUUGGCGGGGGAGCACUACAACCGGAGGAGCCUGCGGUUUAAUUGGACUCAACGCCGGACAUCUCACCAGCAUCGACUGUAAUAAUGACGACCAGGUUGAUGACCUUGUCCGAGUUUCAGAGAGGAGGUGCAUGGCCGCCGUCAGCUCGUACCGUGAGGCGUCCUGUUAAGUCAGGCAACGAGCGAGACCCGCACCCUUACUUGCCAGCAGUACCGCGAGGUAGCUGGGGACAGUAGGGGGACCGCCGUGGCUAACACGGAGGAAGGAACGGGCAACGGUAGGUCAGUAUGCCCCGAAUGUGNUGGGCAACACGCGGGCUACAAUGGUCGAGACAAAGGGUUCCAACUCCGAAAGGAGACGGUAAUCU
rnacentral:rRNA from 1 species